rnacentral:rRNA from 1 species
GACGAACGCUGGCGGCGUGCUUAACACAUGCAAGUCGAACGGUGAAGCGCCUUCCUUUUUGGUGGGUGUGGAUGAGUGGCGAACGGGUGAGUAACACGUGAGUAACCUGCCCCCUUCUUCUGGAUAACCGCAUGAAAGUGUGGCUAAUACGGGAUAUUCUGGGUCUGUCGCAUGAUGGGUCUGGGAAAGAUAUUGUUUCGGUGGGGGAUGGGCUCGCGGCCUAUCAGCUUGUUGGUGGGGUGAUGGCCUACCAAGGCGGGGACGGGUAGCCGGCCUGGGAGGGUGGACGGGCACACUGGGACUGAGACACGGCCCAGACUCCUACGGGAGGCAGCAGUGGGGAAUAUGGCACAAUGGGCGCAAGCCUGAUGCAGCGACGCCGCGUGAGGGAUGGAGGCCUUCGGGUUGUGAACCUCUUUCGCCAGUGAAGCAGGCCUGCCUCGUUUGUGGGUGGGUUGACGGUAGCUGGAUAAGAAGCGCCGGCUAACUACGUG